AACGGCCAUACCAUGCUGAAUAUACCGGUUCCCGUUAGAUCACCGAAGUCAAGCAUCAUUGGGCGCGGUCAGUACUUGGGUGGGUGACCACCUGGGAACACUGCGUGCCGUU
rnacentral:rRNA from 1 species